AGCGGACGCUGGCGGCAGGCCUAACACAUGCAAGUCGAACGAACCUUUCGGGGUUAGUGGCGGACGGGUGAGUAACACGUGGGAACGUGCCUUUAGGUUCGGAAUAACUCAGGGAAACUUGUGCUAAUACCGAAUGUGCCCUUCGGGGGAAAGAUUUAUCGCCUUUAGAGCGGCCCGCGUCUGAUUAGCUAGUUGGUUGAGGUAAUGGCUCACCAAGGCGACGAUCAGUAGCUGGUCUGAGAGGAUGAUCAGCCACAUUGGGACUGAGACACGGCCCAAACUCCUACGGGAGGCAGCAGUGGGGAAUCUUGUGCAAUGGGCGAAAGCCUGACGCAGCCAUGCCGCGUGAAUGAUGAAGGUCUUAGGAUUGUAAAAUUCUUUCACCGGGGACGAUAAUGACGGUACCCGGAGAAGAAGCCCCGGCUAACUUCGUG
rnacentral:rRNA from 1 species